rnacentral:rRNA from 1 species
AUUGAACGCUGGCGGCAGGCUUAACACAUGCAAGUCGAGCGGGGUGAUGGUGCUUGCACUAUCACUUAGCGGCGGCCGGGUGAGUAAUGCUUAGGAAUCUGCCUAUUAGUGGGGGACAACAUCCCGAAAGGGAUGCUAAUACCGCAUACGUCCUACGGGAGAAAGCAGGGGAUCACUUGUGACCUUGCGCUAAUAGAUGAGCCUAAGUCGGAUUAGCUAGUUGGUGGGGUAAAGGCCUACCAAGGCGACGAUCUGUAGCGGGUCUGAGAGGAUGAUCCGCCACACUGGGACUGAGACACGGCCCAGACUCCUACGGGAGGCAGCAGUGGGGAAUAUUGGACAAUGGGGGGAACCCUGAUCCAGCCAUGCCGCGUGUGUGAAGAAGGCCUUAUGGUUGUAAAGCACUUUAAGCGAGGAGGAGGCUCCUUUGGUUAAUACCCAAGAUGAGUGGACGUUACUCGCAGAAUAAGCACCGGCUAACUCUGUGCCAGCCGCCGCCGUAA